rnacentral:rRNA from 1 species
AGCGAACGCUGGCGGCAGGCUUAACACAUGCAAGUCGAGCGGGCAUCCUUGUGGUGUCAGCGGCAGACGGGUGAGUAACGCGUGGGAACGUGCCCUUCGGUUCGGAAUAACUCAGGGAAACUUGAGCUAAUACCGGAUACGCCCUUUUGGGGAAAGGUUUACUGCCGAAGGAUCGGCCCGCGUCUGAUUAGCUAGUUGGUGAGGUUAUGGCUCACCAAGGCGACGAUCAGUAGCUGGUCUGAGAGGAUGAUCAGCCACACUGGGACUGAGACACGGCCCAGACUCCUACGGGAGGCAGCAGUGGGGAAUAUUGGACAAUGGGGGCAACCCUGAUCCAGCCAUGCCGCGUGAGUGAUGACGGCCUUAGGGUUGUAAAGCUCUUUUCUCCGGGACGAUAAUGACGAUACCGGAGGAAUAAGCCCCGGCUAACUUCGUG